CGAGUUCCUUGCUAGAAAUUAUUUAAAAUCUUAACGUAGUUCUAAAUCCAAAAUUAGUGACAAACAGAAGCCAAUAUUCUUCAGGUGUUCGAAUUAUUAAUAUAGGAUUGCUAAACAACUGAAAUAUUUUAUGGUAUUCAAAUACAUGUUUAAGUGUAUGUAGUCGUAUAUAAAAUAAAAGUGCAAUAAUAUUCAAAGAAACAGCAAACAUCUAACAGAAAUAAAGACAAGCAUGCAAGA